GAAGGAUUAUCAACUUUAAAGUGAGUCAUUUUUUUUUCCUCUUGAGCGGAAUUCCUCAUUUUUAAAGAGCAACAAGACAGCUGUCAGCACCGGGAGAGUCAGAGCUAACUAGGAGCCACCAGGUCUACUUUUAUUCAAAACACAUAUCAAAUCCUAUUUCAACUUAUCUUUGGCUUGCAAACCUUCCCUCCAGAUUAUAACUGUCUCCUCUGGGCUUUCUCCUUCUAGACGAUCGCCUCUGAAAGAAGCCAAGAGUUCCCUGCUCCAGUCGGGCACACAUUAGUUGAUAGAAUCCCCUGGACCUCUAUGGCUAGAAGAAAUGUGGCUCUAUAUUAAGUCCCAAAUAUAGUGAGGCCUGGAAAAAGACUAUAAAACUCUAUAAAGGCCUAGAAGGCUUGUUUGAUCCAGACUGGUUCCCUUUGAAGACAAAGACUGGCAGAGGAGGGUGGACCCACGAGAUCUUCAACUGUCCUGGGUUCCUGGGCCUGGUUAGCGGGGGACAAAGGACACUAGUCCCCUCCACACGCGUGCAAGAGCCUCGAGAGCUGCCCGGCAUUCUUUUUCCACUCGGCUGCUUGGCUGAAGAGCUGCUUGGCUGGCUGGGGUGUAAACCCAACCUGACGUGGGCUCAUUAAUUUGGCAGCGACUGGAAAGCUGGGCCAUAGCGACACAGCCGGGAGGCCUUUGUGGGCCCGGGGUCAGGUCAGAGGGCAACCGAAACAUGGCUGAACCCUGCACGCGGCUUCUCCCGGGGCUGGAGCCCCGACCUCCUACCGCAUCACCCCAGCGCGUCUUCCGGAACCCGGGAACCCGCGACCUCGCCGGGUACCUUCUCCUUACCCAGUGCCUAGCCUUAGCCCUGCUUCAGAAGCCUCUGGGAUGGAGCGCGGAUGUGAGGAUGCGCACAUUCAGGACGCGGUGACCACAGGUGUGCGCCUCUCCUCAGUGCCCUCUGGGACUCUGGGGCGGCUUCUUAGGAGGCAGAGCAUCAUCCCUGGAUCUGGGUUACCUUAGGUUUUGAAGUCUAUCGCACCGCACCGUCUCUCACACAAGCCUGCAUCUAGAUAGCCGGCAACAGACAGAGAGCUAGAGGCCUGUUCAGUGUUUUAGAAGCGGCUCUAGCAUAGAUUAAUUUUUAGCAAUUUUCGCAAAAACAAGCGGCCUCCUUCUGAGCCUUUAGGUGACUCUUGUGACAUUUAGCAGCAAAGAAAACUAUUUCCUCCUCCAUUCAGAGCUAACCACGUGUAAUUAGCCCAGAAGUCUGUUGUAUUUUGGGUAACUGUUUGCGAUAUCCCAUCUGUUUUCAUCUUGAGGUUCAAACAAGUCUGUGUUUACCCUU